AACGUAGGUGGCGAGCGUUAUCCGGAUUCAUUGGGCGUAAAGAGCUUGUAGGUGGCCCUGUAAGUUGGACGUGAAAGACCCGGGCUUAACCCGGGGAGGCCGUUCAAUACUGCGGGGCUGGAGGGCGUCAGAGGGGAGUGGAAUUCCCGGUGUAGCAGUGAAAUGCGUAGAUAUCGGGAGGAACACCCGUGGCGAAGGCGGCUCCCUGGGGCGCCCCUGACACUGAGAAGCGAAAGCCAGGGGAG
rnacentral:rRNA from 1 species